UAGGGAAUCUUCCGCAAUGGGCGAAAGCCUGACGGAGCAACGCCGCGUGAGUGAUGAAGGUCUUCGGAUCGUAAAACUCUGUUAUUAGGGAAGAACAAAUGUGUAAGUAACUAUGCACGUCUUGACGGUACCUAAUCAGCAAGCCACGGCUAACUACGUGCCAGCAGCCGCGGUAAUACGUAGGUGGCAAGCGUUAUCCGGAAUUAUUGGGCGUAAAGCGCGCGUAGGCGGUUUUUUAAGUCGGAUGUGAAAGCCCACGGCUCAACCGUGGAAGGUCAUUUGAAACUGGAAAACUUGAGUGCAGAAGAGGAAAGUGGAAUUCCAUGUGUAGCGGUGAAAUGCGCAGAGAUAUGGAGGAACACCAGUGGCGAAGGCGACUUUCUGGUCUGAUACUGACGCUGAUGUGCGAAAGCGUGGGGAUCAAACAGG
rnacentral:rRNA from 1 species